rnacentral:rRNA from 1 species
UACGGAGGGUGCGAGCGUUGUCCGGAAUCACUGGGCGUAAAGGGCGCGUAGGUGGCUUGGUAAGCGUGUGGUGAAAGCCUGGGGCUCAACCCCGGGUCGGCCAUGCGAACUGCCGAGCUUGAGCACUGUAGAGGCAGACGGAAUUCCGGGUGUAGCGGUGGAAUGCGUAGAGAUCCGGAAGAACACCGGUGGCGAAGGCGGUCUGCUGGGCAGUUGCUGACACUGAGGCGCGACAGCGUGGGGAGCAAACAGG